rnacentral:lncRNA from 1 species
AUCGUUGCAAAGAGGGGCCGGAGGCGAAGGAGGCGGCGAGGCUGUGCGGCGGGUCGGAGCGACGCCGAGGUCUGACGUGUCCGCGUCCCUGCGGCCCCACUCCCGGCCGCCGUGACCUCCCCUUGCACGGGGCGGACACGAGCAAUGUCACGGGCCCCGCCGCGCGCCGCGAGCACUCACCAGGGUGAGGGCUGCCCGGGUGGGCUGCAGCUUCCUCUUGCUCACAGCCCGGACAGUUGCCCGGACUAAGGAAGCCGACAUCUUCGCCGUCCCGGCGCCCCGGUGCCUCGGGCCGAAGGUCGGCCGCCUCAGCUUCUCUCCAUGGACACGGCGGGCGCAUUGACGCCACAAGCUUCGGCGCACGGCGCCCUCAGUCCUAGCCCCGCCCCCCGCCGCCACCAUUGGCACUGCCUAAAAAAUGAAAUAGACUGGUUUACAAAAUCGAAAGGAAGAGCAUCUGAAACAGCCUUAAAACCGAAACCAUAUCCAAGGAGAGCUGAAAUAAGGCAUGUGGGUGGCAGAAUUUUGCAAGUUAACUGAAAAGCAAGACCAUGGGCAGGAGUUCUGAAACAAGGCCCCGCCAUCCGGUGCCCAGUAAGCCUCACCACGCACCACACCCGCGCAGGACAGACAGGAGUGCUGCAGGUCAGCCAGAGGAAGGAGGGCCCGCACUGCCAGCACAGCGCAAGGACAUGGUGCAGAGCUGAGAGCACUCAGGGAGCAGCUCCUGAGUGAACAGAUGACAGACACGCCUCCUUCUCCGUUUGAGCUAGGUUUACCUGAACAAAUAAACCAGUUGGUUUCAAUGGGACAGGUGAGGGCGAUCCAAACAUACAAUCUGAUUUAGACAUUCCUAAAAAAGAAAUUAGCACUUUUUGUUCCUACUUUAAAUUGAAAGCAGUAGCCCUGUUUUCAAACUUUCACAGAGAGACUGUCUGUUGGUGUGACAGAAGCUCCACUCAGUAUAUUGUGUGGACAAAGGAGCAAUAUAUCUGAAGAAACAAGAGAGAGCAGCAUAAUUUUGAGAGAGGAAGAAGCAGCUGAUUAUUUUUGAACUGCCACCAAAGGAAAUUCCCUGUAUCUAUCCCCAUGCCUCCACUGUCAUUUCACUUUUAAAAUAUGAUGACUACUAACUUUAAUGUGUCAAGACUGCAUUCUGAAGGGACCACAUUUCUAGAUAAGUGCUCUUCCUUAUGCUUGAUAAUUCCCCUGCCACCCGGACUACCCGCCCCGCAUCUUUUUGAGUUGCUGCUGUCCCCACAGGCUGCCAAAAUCAUUGGUCUAACUGUUGUGAGAGCUUCCCUAGUACACAACUUAAAACUUGCUGCUAGCGAGAAAAAAGAAAUUCAUCAAAGCUGGGGCAAAUUCUCCACUUUGUUGUACCAAAGAGGAAGACUGUAAUAAUGUUUCAGUCAUGAGUAAUCAACACAGGCCUCGAGUAAUUUUAGGAAUAAUUUUGGGAAUACUAUUUAAAAGUUAUCUAUACUA